GCUAUGAAACUUUCCGGGUGCUCGCUGCAUUUUCCCGCGCCAACGUUCACCUCUCGCAUAGGCGGGGCUUCAUCGCCGCCCAAUGAUCAAUGAGAAACGGCAACAUGUAAAACCAAGCGCAAGGGCUCCCGCCAUCUAGCAUCGAUGGAAACCACCUGCGCAAGACCAACUGGAGAAAAACCGAAUGUAUCCUCCGUCUUUGAUAUCAACAUCCUGCCAAAUAAAAAAAGGAAUAUCCACCUUUCAAACAAAGCAGAGCCAUGGACGAUCAGACGCUGCGCUGUCACCAAGCGCACUGAAGUCAAUUCACAAUUGAUUUCACUCAACACGGCCAUUGAUGAAGUCCGUUCAGAUUGCGGGCUUCUCCUUCAGACUUGCACUGCAGAGUUGAUAUUAGAAUUGACUUCCACGUGUCGCCCUCAGCUCAAGACAGGUGGGAAAUUGAGUUACAAAGCACUGGUAUAUGAAGAGUUGAUGCGGAAGCGACGGCACUACCGUGUAAAAGUAGUUUUUAUGGAUUUCUAUCCAUGCUGUGAGCAUGUAGUAACAGGUACAUUCAUAAUAACAUGGAAUACUUGUACAGUAUUUUUCUCAUUUUAAGCAUUAGCAGGACUUCCUUCCUGGGCGCAUUGAUUACACAUAGCAAGAUAAAAAGGAAAGCUACACCUGUGUUAACUUUUCCUAACUCAAGAAAGACACAAUGAAUCAACCGUCCUGUGCAUCAAAAUGACAGGAAUGGAACAGAACCAAUGAUUUACCAUUUGUCAGGAAAACUUAGAAAAUGUUGUACGUCCAUUAUUCCAUUCGGUUUGACUAAUAUUUGUUGUAAUGAUGCACAAAAAUACAAUAUUUUUUGUCAAGUAUUUUUGCUAAGAUACACAUUAAUGACAUACUAGCUUGCUAUGAUUAUCUGCUCAAGGUUAGAGGCCUCUUGCCUCCAGAAAAAGUCAUCCACAUGCUUAUCACCUGAUUCAAAUAGCCUUGGGUGUCUAGGCAUGUGAGUCUGCCCUUCAUCGUCUCUGUCCCGCACAGGAGGAGGAGCUCAUCCCUCCAUUUUCAUAUGUUGUCGUCUAUUUUAACCUGUAUAUUGUUAUGGUAGCAGCUAACACGAAGAACGAUAUUUAUCUAACACAACACCUCGCUAGUCUCAGCGUCACUCACAGUGCCUCAAGCCACUGCCACGGGAUGGAAGAGUGGGAUACUACUGGCUCUCAACUUUGCUAUGAAGACUCAACAAGAUGCUAGUUUGCUCUCAGCAUUUUUUACCUGAGGACUGGAGCACAAGUCUUGUGCUGGAAGACACAGCCGUCCCACUGAGAGUGGUCAGUGGAAGUGUCGUCGCUGUUUCUAUGCUGCUGCUGUUGACGGAAGUAGCGUAGCUCCUAUUGGAAAUCAAUGCGCCUAGGAAAAAAGUUCCGGUAAUUUUUAAAUCAUCAAAAUACGGCAAGAUACUAUAUUCUACGUUAUCAUCAAUAUACUUGUUAAUGCAUGAUCACAGCAUGGAUAUAAAACCUUCUUAGAGCUUUUUUAGAGGGCAUUAUUGUUGUAAUAGGUACCUCCCAUGACAUGCAAUGUUAACUGGCUCAUGCUAACUCAUUUUCUCUUUUUAGAAUGCACAUAAAAGGGAAAGAAAUAGGUGUUCAUGUUUUACAUGAAGAUUGUGGAUGAUGGGCAAAAUUCCAAAAAAAGCACUUUUCUUUUAAGAGGAAAAAAGGUUGUCAAAGGCCUCGUCUCCUUCAACACCACAAAAUUGGGCUUUUGGAAUUUAGGGUUAGGGUUAGAGCACCAAACAUGGGACACUGAAAGGUGGAAGAAAGUUUUAUUCUCCCUUGACGGACCUGAUGGCUUCCAAUGUUACUGGCAUGACCAGGAGAUCCCACCUGAGAUGCUUUCCACAUGGCACAGUGGAGGGGGCGCCAUCAUGGAGCUUCAGGUUGUGCAUGGGCGUCACACGGCAGAGGGCUAUGUGGCGAUUUCACAAGGGGCAUCCCUCAUGACUGAAGGCCCUCGUCUGUGUGGUGAUGACUGGCUUUUUCAACAGGACAACGCUGCACUUCACAAAAAGGAAUAAGCUGACUCUUUUGGACCAUCCCACGUGUUCCCCUCAUCUAAAUCCAAUGGAGAACAUUUGGGGAUGAAUUUACAAAAAUGGACAUGAGUUCCAGACAGUGAAGCCAUCUUCAGCACUUUGAGCAACAUUCUCACCAGCCUCCUGGGAACACUGGGAACAUCAAGAACGCUCAAAGCCAUUUUUCACCUCAUGAACAAGAAUGGCACAGCUACUCAUUACCCACUCCUUUUUUAUAUUUUUAAUUCUAUUUUAGGGGUGUUUCAGGGUUUAUGAACUUUUGAUUAUCUGAUGAAAAGCCUAUUUCACUUGAAUGCUUGUUUGUAGUAAAUUGCUUACACCAAAAAUAUUUUUGUGUCACUCCCAUUUAUUCUUUUUGCAUUUUGAAGUUCUAUUUAGAACCUCCUUAAGAACAGCUGGUAAGGAGUGUAUUACAACUUAAGAAAAUAACACCUUUUUUCUUUAAUAUUUCAACUUUAUGCUUCUAAAAAUUACAUAUUUUGUUCCUCAGAAUAUUAUGACUUUAUUGUCGUAAAAUGAGGACCUUUCCCCCCAUAAGAUGACAACUUUUUUCUCAUGUUUUAUGACUUUAUUUUUUAAAUAUCACAACUUUUUCAUUUAAUAUUUCAACUUUAUGCUUCUAAAUUUUUUUUUUCUCAGAAUAUGACAACUUUAUACUCAUAAACCCUCACCCGCUACAUGACACUGUGGGUUCCCUUAGCAGCUCCUUCAGCAGCAGACUGUUACACCCACGGUGUAAGAAGGAGAGGUUCCGCAGGUCCUUCAUACCGACCGCUGUCAGGCUCUACAACACCUGCACCACCUGAACCAUGUCGUAGUCACUAUGUCACUAUGCAUUCUUUACUUCCGUAUCUUGCUUGCUGCUGUAACAAGUGAAUUUCCCUGCUGUGGGAUAAAUAA